CAAAGCCUGAUCAUACUCUAGAAGCACAUACCUUCUAUCACAAAUUCUCCCAGACAGGGUUAGCAUCCCAUAACACACAUUAAUAUUUCUAUUUCUACAAUGACUAUGAAUGUUCAUAUUAAGUGUGAUAAAU